UGGGAUGUGGCUCAGUGGUAGAGCACUUGCCUAGCAUGUGCAAGGCCUUGGGUUCAAUCCCAGACAUCACAU
rnacentral:tRNA from 1 species